rnacentral:rRNA from 1 species
CGAACGCUGGCGGCGUGCUUAACACUUGCAAGUCAAGGGGGCCCAGCAAUGGGCAACCGGCGAACGGGUGCGUAACACGUGAGCAACCUACCGAACUGUGGGGGAUAGCCGGCCUAACGGCCGAGUAAUACCGCAUACGCUCUCAGAGAGGCAUUUCUUUGAGAGGAAACCUACGGGACAGAUCGAGGGGCUCGCGGCCUAUCAGCUAGUUGGCGAGGUAACGGCUCACCAAGGCAACGACGGGUAGCUGUCUGAGAGGAUGGCCAGCCACACUGGGACUGAGACACGGCCCAGACUCCUACGGGAGGCAGCAGUGGGGAAUAUUGGACAAUGGGCGCAAGCCUGAUCCAGCCAUGCCGCGUGAGUGAUGAAGGCCUUCGGGUUGUAAACUCCUGUCAUUUGGGAACAAGUGCCGAUACAUAACUGCUAUCGGCUUGAUAGUACCAGAAGAGGAAGGGACGGCUAACUCUGUGCCAGCAGCCGCGGUAAUACAGAGGUCCCAAGCGUUGUUCGGAUUCAUUGGGCGUAAAGGGUGCGUAGGUGGCGCCGUAAGUGGGGUGUGAAAUCUCGGGGCUUAACUCCGAAACUGCAUUCCAUACUGCGGUGCUUGAGGACUGGAGAGGAGACUGGAAUUUACGGUGUAGCAGUGAAAUGCGUAGAGAUCGUAAGGAAGACCAGUGGCGAAGGCGGGUCUCUGGACAGUUCCUGACACUGAGGCACGAAGGCCAGGGGA